rnacentral:rRNA from 1 species
UACAGAGGCCUCGAGCGUUAGGCGGAAUCACUGGGCUUAAAGCGUGUGUAGGCGGACUUCUAAGUACCUUGUGAAAUCCCACGGCUCACCCGUGGAACUGCUUGGUAUACUGGUUGUCUUGAGCCUUCUAGGGGCGAGUGGAACAAAUGGUGGAGCGGUGAAAUGCGUAGAUAUCGUCUGGAACGCCGAAGGUGAAAACAGCUCGCUGGGGCUGCGCUGACGCUGAGACACGAAAGCCAGGGGAGCGAACGGG